GCCCAGGUGGUGGAAUGGCAGACACGUACGUUUGAGGGGCGUAUGGAGCAAUCCGUGGGGGUUCGAGUCCCCCCCUGGGCA
rnacentral:tRNA from 1 species